rnacentral:rRNA from 1 species
GGCCUGAUUUUAUGCAGGCCACCAUCGAAAGGNAAUCCGGUUAAGAUUCCGGNACCUGGAUAUGGAUUCUUCACGGUAACGUAACUGAAUGUGGAGACGUCGGCGCGAGCCCUGGGAGGAGUUAUCUUUUCUUCUUAACAGCUUAUCACCCCGGAAUUGGUUUAUCCGGAGAUGGGNNNUUAUGGCUGGAAGAGGCCAGCACCUUUGCUGGCUCCGGUGCGCUUGUGACGGCCCGUGAAAAUCCACAGGAAGGAAUAGUUUUCAUGC